rnacentral:sRNA from 1 species
CAAAAGAAAGGCUGGAGAGCAAAUGAGAGAGCGAAUGAGAGAGCAAAUGUGAAAUUGAGAACUCUGAUCCUGUGUCGAGAAUGGACCCCAGCAAUGCUAGAAGAUGCAGCAGCCUACAAUUGGUUCUCACCAGAAUUUAUGGCUCGAGAAGGAAACUGCUUCACAUUAUUGAGGUUAUGUCCGAGUCUGCCCUUUCUCAUGCCUGACACCUCAGAAUGGUGGAGGAGACAGACGGGAUCCAGCAUCCCGGACUUGUCAAAACCACUUUUCUCAUCAGUAACCCUGCUGGCUCAGCCAAGGUAUGUGCAUGCCUUGCUGCAGUGAGGACUGAUUAAGUAGUUGUCCACACUUGACUUUCUUAUGAUUUAAACAGAAACAUGACUCCUCCCUGCUCCUGAGUGUUUCUCAGUCCCUGUAGGGUGAGCCAUGUUACCUUGAAGUAGACCAGUAGCCACAAGAAAGCCUAUCCUGGAUACUGGGCUAUAGUCAUCACAGCCUGGACUUCUGAUAACAGAUUUCUUCGACUCAGCACUCUGCAUCCACAGAGAUAUUGAUUUUCCACAGAUGGACAUGCCCUCCUCACGAGUGCUCUUUCAAAGGUCAAGUGAUGUAGGAAACCAGCAUACCACACUUUGGAACUGAUGAGAACAGCACCUGCAGAGACAACAGCAUGCUAUCAAGGCUUCCUGUCUCCUAGGACAUAGAUGCAACUGUGUGUUCAAGUAAAGAAUUAACUCACAUGAAUUGCCUACCAAACUCACAGAUGGAUUUGGGUCAUUUUAGAACAUGGCUUAGAAGGACUAGGCUCAGAAAUGAUGUUAUAACUUCCCAGACUCCUAUCUGCUUUUUAAAGUUCUGAGCACUAUAUGCAACAUUUUCUGCAGGGGAACAGUAGAAUUACUGUCUCUCUCCCCCUAAGGCUGUCCUAGUUCCCAUGCAGACUGAAGAGAAGUGAGGAAGACUGUAUCUGUGUUCAUGAUCAGCAUCUGAGUAGCCCUGUUCUUUAUUUAAAUAACUAGGUGUGAGUGAGAACACUGAUCACGGGGCUUGCCUGAGAAUCAAUUAGGACCAGAAUGGAGACUAACCACUUAGAAUUGUUUCUGUGUGAGUGCUUAACACAAUUUGAGGCAGACUGUACCACCUUCCAGAGGAAGUCCAGCUUCAAAGACCCAGCAGGGAAUGCAGGCACAUCAGAAGAAAGGCAUCUGCUGCUUCCACUCACCGGGUCUGGUCCCCAAAUGGUCAUAAAUUAUAAUUGUUUCCUCUUUGGAGCACGCUCUGUGUCCUGGCUCUGUGCUACACCAUCUUAGAAUAAAGGCAGGCCCCUCUUCCCUCAUGAUACAGCCAUCUCUGCAUCAAAACUGCUAAGCCAAACAUAUGAGCACCAUGUUGUGCUCUGAUCAUGGGGUUUGAGCACAAGUUCUUGAGUGUUCUUGAAAUUUACCAGGAUGGUGACCUUGUGGAGCCGACCUGCACUCAGAAAUUAUUGCCAAACAUGAAAUGAUAGUAGAUGUGUUUAUGAAGUCCGACAUGUUUUCCACGUCCUGCCUCUCUCUCUCUGCAAUCCAGAAAAAAAAAAAAGCCAAUCACUGCAAAACUAUGGAGAAGAAGGCUCUUCCUGAUUGAUCACAGAACCUGGAGAGCCAUAUGGUACUACUUCAGGUAAUGAGCACUGACAGGCCUUGGGACAGCAGCCAUAAAGUCUCUCGGAAGAAACAGCCAUUAUCACUGUGGUGGAGAAACGGAGGUGAUUAUUAGAGUGGAAGGACACUCCUGUGGAGACUACCCAGACUUUAGGAACUAAGUUUUGAGAACGACUGCAGCUUCCAGCAGAGACAUACCUAGAGCUCAACAUGGGGUACCAACUUCUCCAUACUGGUCAUUUUCCAACACCAGCUGGGCUGCUCUUGUCUUUUGUGUGCAACAACAUGAAGGUUAACUGCUGUAUGACCAGUACCUCUGAAAGUUGGUUUCCUUUCCAACUCUUCAGACUAGGUAGGUGUACUGGCUGGUUUUGUGUGUCAACUUGACACAAGCUGGAGUUAUCACAGAGAGAGGUGCCUUCCUUGAG